UUAAUAUUCUCAAGGUACUACAAUAGCUCCUCCACAAGUCUCUCUCUCUACACUGCUUCGAAGUAAAUUUCCAGAAACAUGGCUAUGGGAGAAGAUCACGGUCGGGUCCUCGGGCGAAACAAGCGUUACCAAAACAGUUCCGGACACUAUGACGUCAUGGAUAUCUUCUGCUUUCGCAAUGAGUUCAAAUGAUGGUUUCGGCAUGGCUGACAAUAUACCGAAGAUCAUAGUAAGGAAGGACUUCUUCAUUACUUUGGAUGCACCAACAAGCAUUAUCCUUGGGGAAGAGUUUCUCCUUCAAGUAACAGCGUUUUCCUAUUUACCUGGCAGGCA